rnacentral:rRNA from 1 species
CAGACUCCUACGGGAGGCAGCAGUGGGGAAUAUUGCACAAUGGGCGCAAGCCUGAUGCAGCAACGCCGCGUGAAGGAAGACGGUUUUCGGAUUGUAAACUUCUGUUCUUAGUGAAGAAUAAUGACGGUAGCUAAGGAGCAAGCCACGGCUAACUACGUGC